CCCGCUGAACUUAAGCAUAUCAAUAAGCGGAGGAAAAGAAACUAACCAGGAUUCCCCUAGUAACGGCGAGUGAAGCGGGAAGAGCUCAAAUUUGUAAUCUGGCGGUCUUCAGGCCGUCCGAGUUGUAGUCUGGAGAAGCGUUUUCCGCGCCGGUGCCGUGUACAAGUCUCUUGGAACAGGGCGUCAUAGAGGGUGAGAAUCCCGUCUUUGACACGGACAACCGGGGCUUUGCGAUGCGCUCUCGAAGAGUCGAGUUGUUUGGGAAUGCAGCUCAAAUCGGGUGGUAAAUUCCGUCUAAAGCUAAAUAUUGGCGAGAGACCGAUAGCGAACAAGUACCGUGAGGGAAAGAUGAAAAGAACUUUGAAAAGAGAGUUAAACAGUACAUGAAAUUGUUGAAAGGGAAACGCUUGAAGUCAGUCGUGUCCUCUAGGGAUCAAGUCAGCUCUGGCUGGCCGUACUUUCUAGUUGGAUGGGUCAGCAUCAAUUUUGAUCGCUGGAUAAAGGCCUUGGGAAUGUGGCAUCUUCGGAUGUGUUAUAGACCAUGGUUCUGAUACAGCGGUUGGGAUUGAGGAACUCAGCGCGCCUUCGUGGUUGCGUUCAGGAUGCUGGCAUAAUGGCUUUAAUCGACCCGUCUUGAAACACGG
rnacentral:rRNA from 1 species